GUUUCUAUUAUCUAAAAGGUCUUUGCUUUGACAUAUGUGUUUGCAUGAUCCUAAUCAGUGUUCUAGAUAACCAUGUUAGAAACUCUCUUUUAAUCGAUGAUUGCAGCUAUAGACUAAAUUUUGAUCACAGGUACAGCUAGAAUAAGCAUCUUAAAAUUAGUAAAAUUACAAAGUUUGGUUGCAAAAUGUUCUACGCAUGGGAAAAUGUACCACUUUCGCCCCAAAUGUGGUGCAUUUUCCCUUGCGUAAUACAAAUUAAUACAAAAUUUGCAAAUUUCGCAGGGGUAUAUCUUACUCAUUUUACAACAUUUCGCAACCAAACUUUGCAAUUUUACUAAUUUUAAG